rnacentral:tRNA from 1 species
GCCCGAGUGGUGGAAUUGGUAGACACAAGGGAUUUAAAAUCCCUCGACGGCUACGUCGUGCGAGUUCAAGUCUCGCCUCGGGCACCA